GACAGAGGAUGCAAGCGUUAUCCGGAAUGAUUGGGCGUAAAGCGUCUGUAGGCGGCUCGGUAAGUCUGCUGUGAAAGUCCAGGGCUCAACCCUGGGAUGCCGGUGGAUACUGUCGAGCUCGAGUCCGGAAGAGGCGAGUGGAAUUCCUGGUGUAGCGGUGAAAUGCGUAGAUAUCGAGAGGAACACCUGCGGCGAAGGCGGGUAGCUGGGCCGACACGUGACGCUGAUGCGCGAAAGCCAGGGGAGCGAACGGG
rnacentral:rRNA from 1 species